rnacentral:tRNA from 1 species
GCGCCUGUAGCUCAGUUGGAUAGAGCAUCUGCCUUCUAAGCAGGUGGUCACAGGUUCGAAUCCUGUCAGGUGCGCCA